GCAUAUCAAUAAGCGGAGGAAAAGAAACUAACAAGGAAUCCUCUAGUAACGGCGAGUGGACCGGGACAAGCCCAACUUGAAAAUCUGCCUUUGCAGAAUUGUAGUCUAUAGAAGUGCCCUCUGUGGCGGUCGGAACCCAAGUUCGCUGGAAAGUGGCGUCAGAGAGGGUGAGAACCCCGUCGGCUCCCGGCUUCGCUACUCCACGAGGUGCUUUCCACGAGUCGAGUUGUUUGGGAAU
rnacentral:rRNA from 1 species